rnacentral:rRNA from 1 species
AUUGAACGCUGGCGGCAGGCCUAACACAUGCAAGUCGAGCGGAGGAAGGGAGCUUGCUCCUGGCUUCAGCGGCGGACGGGUGAGUAAUGCCUAGGAAUCUGCCUGGUAGUGGGGGAUAACGUCCGGAAACGGGCGCUAAUACCGCAUACGUCCUGAGGGAGAAAAUGGGGGAUCUUCGGAGCUCACGGUAUCAGAUGAGCCUAGGGCGGAUUAGCAAGUUGGUGGGGUAAAGGCCUACCAAGGCGACGUUCCGUAACUGGUCUGAGAGGAUGAUCAGGCACACGGGAACUGAGACACGGUCCUGACUCCUACGGGAGGCAGCAGUGGGGAAUAUUGGGCGAUGGGCGAGUGCCUGAUCCUGCCAUGCCGCGUGUGUGAAGAAGGUCUUCGGAUGGUAAAGCACUGUAAGUAGGGAGGAAGGGCAGUAAGGUAAUACCUUGCUGUUUUGACGUUACCAAAAGAAUAAGCACCGGCUAACUUCGUG